GGGAGCAUAGCUCAGUUGGUUCAGAGCAUCUGCCUUACAAGCAGAGGGUCACAAGUUCGAAUCUUGUUGUUCCCACCA
rnacentral:tRNA from 1 species